UACGUAGGGUGCAAGCGUUGUCCGGAAUUAUUGGGCGUAAAGAGCUCGUAGGCGGUCUGUUGCGUCUGCUGUGAAAACUCGGGGCUUAACCCCGGGCCUGCAGUGGGUACGGGCAGACUAGAGUGCGGUAGGGUGACUGGAAUUCCUGGUGUAGCGGUGAAAUGCGCAGAUAUCAGGAGGAAUACCGGUGGCGAAGGCGGGUCUCUGGGCCGAUACUGACGCUGAGGAGCGAAAGCGUGGGGAGCGAACAGG
rnacentral:rRNA from 1 species